rnacentral:misc_RNA from 1 species
AACUUUUGGCAAUGGAUCUCUUGGCUCUCGCAGCGAUGAAGAACGCAGCGAAAUGCGAUAAGUAAUGUGAAUUGCAGAAUUCAGUGAAUCAGCGAAUCUUUGAACGCACCUUGCGCCCUUUGGCUAUUCCGAAGGGCAUGCCUGUUUGAGUAUCAUGAACACCUCAACUCUCAUGGUUUGCCAUGAUGAGCUUGGACUCUGGGGGUCUUGCUGGCUCACAGUCAGCUCCUCUUAAAUGAAUCAGCUUUCCAGUGUUUGGUGGUAUCACAGGUGUGAUAACUAUCUACGCUUGUGGUGUUCUCCCAGGUAACCUUCAGCAAUGGAGGUCACUGGAGCUAAUAAACGCACAUCUCUCGUCGUAGAGAUGGCUUUUUAGAUGUUUGAUCUCAAAUCAGGUAGGACUACCCGCUGAACUUAAGCAUAUCAAUAAGCGGAGGCU